CCGGUGACAUAUCCUUCAAAUGUCUGACUUAUCAGCUGUCGAUGGUAGACUCUGUGUCUACCAUGGCGCUCACGGGUGACGGGGAAUCAGGGUUCGAUUCCGGAGAGGGAGCCUGAGAAACGGCUACCACAUCCAAGGAAGGCAGCAGGCACGCAAAUUACCCACUCCCGGCACGGGGAGGUAGUGACAAAAAAUAACGAUACGGGACUCAUCCGAGGCCCCGUAAUCGGAAUGAGAACACCCUAAACCCUUUAACGAUGAUCUAUUGGAGGGCAAGCCUGGUGCCAGCAGCCGCGGUAAUUCCAGCUCCAAUAGCGUAUAUUAAAGUUGUUGCGGUUAAAAAGCUCGUAGUUGGUUCUGCGUGCCACGCUGUCGGUUCACCGCCUGCCGGUGCAACUGGCAUGCCGUGGCAUGUCCUGUCGGUGGCGGAAAGGCCUCCCGGCUGGCCCUAUGCGGUAUACCAGCGUGUAGGCUGCCUUGCCGGGGGUGUCCAGGUACGCCGACUCAAUCCUACCGCGGUGCUCUUUACCGAGUGUCGAGGUAGGCCGACACUGUUUACUUUGAACAAAUUAGAGUGCUUCAAGCAGGCUCUUAAAUCAGCCUGAAUAGUGGUGCAUGGAAUAAUGGAACAGGACCUUGGUUCUAUUUUGUUGGUUUCCGGAAUCCAAGGUAAUGAUCAAUAAGGACAGGCGGGGGCAUUCGUAUUGCGACGUUAGAGGUGAAAUUCUUGGAUCGUCGCAAGACGCACUAAAGCGAAAGCAUUUGCCAAGUAUGUCUUAAUUGAUC
rnacentral:rRNA from 1 species